UUUCUGAUCAUCAUCACAUUUUAUCACCAACUGUUUCUUUUACUUUUUAGCUAUUACAUAUACUGUACUUUAGGAUUUUAAAAAAUCAAAAACCUUACACACUGUCUCCCUUUCAUAAAAAAUGUCUCUUCUUUGAGUGUAGAUUGAAAAAAAUUUCACUUACUUUUCUAAUUUGCAAAUGUGAUAGAAGUAUAAUCAUAGUACAGUCUUGAGUUGACUCCCUGCCCUCGAAAUAAAACCUGUAGCUUCAGUUAGGUGAGAUGCCUCAGGUAAUUAAAACAACAGAUUUAGAGAAGUCAGAAAUGAAGAAGACCAAAUAGUCAUUUAGUCUAACCUCCGGUGGCCAAUAUAGGAUUGUUCUUUACAUAACAUUUUUCAGUUGUUUUGUCCAGUCAAAUUUUAAAUUUUCAAUUUGAUGGGGCUUCUACCAUUUUUCUUGAAAAACUGAAAACAGCCUAAUAGAUUUCAUGGUCAGGAAGAUUUAUCUGAUAUUCUACCUGAAUUUUUGCUUAAUUUAAUCUUUUUACUGCUAGUUAUAGUGCUUUAUAGCCACCUUAAAUAAUCCUCUCCAUGCUUGUUUUAUAUACUCUUCAAAUAUUUGUAAAUAUUGUUGUUUUCCUUUAAUGGUUGCUUAGAUGAAUUCUCAGUUACAGACCCCUUUGCAGUCCCUCUCAAGUGCAUGCCUCUGGUGGCAGGUUUUGCUACCUUUAGCCAUUCUGGGUGGAACCACACAGUCCUGCCAUUCUUAGUCUUCAGAGUGAGAGCCGUGUUAGUCUGUAGCCGCAAAAAGAAAAGGAGUACUUGUGGCACCUUAGAGACUAACCAAUUUAUUUGAGCAUAAGCUUUCAUGAGCUACAGCUCACUUCAUCAGCCCCUCUGUUUACUACCCAUGAAAAAACAACAGGCCCAGGUAUAUGGCACCUCCAAGACCUUUUCUGUGGGAACAUGUGACCAGCAGCUGAAUAGAGUGACUCAAAACAGUUUCUUCAAAAUAAAGUAUUAUUUAUUCACCCCAGGGUACAAAGCACUCAGAGAAGAGGUUUGAAAUGACAAAAGGCCUAUCCACCUGGGUCUUUUUCUCACAAAUUUUCUUAAGUUCUGCUCAGCCCAAACACCCCUGAUUUCUCUGCUCAGUGUUUUGAUCUCUGCUGCCCUACAGGCAUGCGCCCCUCCCCUUUCAAAGCUACAGGAAGUAUCUGUGUGCUGCUCCCUUUGGGGAACAAACUAAGAGCAAAUAAUUGGGAUGCUGCUGUUCUGCCCUGCACUAGGAACACAGCAGCAGGCAGCAGAAAGACUGCUCUGCUGCUUUGCCAUUCCUCAGCAUGGAGAGCUCACAGAGCUGCUCAUAAUGCUGCUCUCAGCAGCUGAGGGAGCUGUGGGAGAACUGGGAGAGAAUCCCAAGAUGCACAGCGAUCAGCUCUUCCUUCUCACAACACUACACUGCGGGAUACCCACAAUGCAUUGCUCACCCUGUCGAUGAUCAUGUCCCCAAUGUGGACAUGAUCUUUUGACAGAGGGAACAAGUGUGAACACCCUUUGGCGAUUUUUGUUUUGGCAACUUUUGGAUAUUGACAUAAGUUUUGUCAACAAAACUUGGUAGUGUAGACAAGCCCCACGAUAUAAAAGGCAUUAUAACUCCUCUUAGCCCUGGUCUACACUACAAGUUUAGGUUGAAUUUAGCAGCGUUAGAUCGAUUUAACCCUGCACCUGCCCACAUGACAAAACCAUUUUUGUCGACUUAAAGGGCUCUUAAAAUCGAUUUCUGUACUCCUCCCCUACGAGGGGAUUAGCGCUGAAAUCGACAUCGCCUGGUCAAAUUUGGGGUAGUGUGGAUGCAAUUCAAUGGUACUGGCCUCUGGGAGCUAUCCCAGAAUGUGCCAUUUUGACCGCUCUGGACAGCACUUUCAAUUCAGAUGCACUAGCCAGGUACACAGGAAAAGUCCCGGGAACUUUUGAAUUUCAUUUCUGUUUGGCCAGCAUGGUGAGCUCAUCAGCACAGGUGACCAUGCAGUCCCAGAAUCACAAAAGAGAUGCAGCAUGGACCAAAUGGGAGGUACUGGAUCUGAUCACUGUAUGGGGAGACGAAUCCAUGCUAUCAGAACUCAGUUCCAAAAGACGAAAUGGCAAAAUAUUUGUAAAAAUCUCCAAGGGCAUGAUGGACACAGGGACCCGCAGCAGUGCCGCGUGAAAAUUAAGGAGCUCAGGCAAGCCUGCCAAAAAAUCAAAGAGGCAAAGGGCUGCUCCAGGUCAGAGCCCCAUACAUGCUGCUUCUAUGGUGAGCUGCAUGCAGUUCUACAGGGGGGCCCGAUUACUACCCCACCCCUGUCCGUGGACACCUGCAAGGGGGUAGUCUCAUGCAACAGGCAUGAGGAUUUGUGGGACGAGGAGGAGGAGGAGGAUAGUGCACAGCAGGCAAGCAGAGAAACCAUUCUCCCCGACAGCCAGGAACUCUUUAUCACCCUGGAGCCAAUAUCUUCCCAACCCUCCCAAGGCAGGCUCCCAGACCAUGAAGCCGGAGAAGGCAGUUCUGUUGCAAAUGUUUCAACACUCCCCCUAUCAUCUCCGCCCCAGAGGCUAGCGCAGAUAAGAAGGCGAAAAAAAUGCACUCGCAAUGAAAUAUUCUCUGAGCUCAUGCAGUCCUCCCGCACUGAAAGUGCUCAGCAGAAUGCGUGGAGGCAAACAAUGUCAGAGUCCAGGAAAGCAAAAAACAAACGCGAGGACAGGAGGGACAAGUGAGAUGAGAGGUGGCGGCAGUGUGAUGAGAGGAGGCAGGAUGCAAUGCUGAGGCUACUGCGGGAUCAAACUGAUAUGCUCUGGUGUCUGGUUGAGCUGCAGAAAAGGCAGCAGGAGCACAGACCGCCGCUGCUGUAACCGCCUGCCCUCCUCCUCAAGUUCCAUAGCCUCCUAACCCAGACGCCCAAGAACGCAGUGGGGAUGCUCUGGAAAUCCAAACACUCCACCCCAGAGGACUGCCCAAGCAACAGAAGGCUGGCAUUCAAUAAGUUUUGAAGUUCAGUGUGGCCUUGUCCUUCCCUCAUCCACCACCCCUCCCGGGCUACCUUGGCAGUUAUCCCCCUAUUUGUGUGAUGAAUUAAUAAAGAAUGCAUGAUUUUGAAACAACAAUGACUUUAUUGCCUCUGCAAGCAAUGAUCGAAGUGGGGAGGGCGGUUGGCUUACACGGAAGUAGAGUGAACCAAGGGGGCGGGUUUUCAUCAAGGAGAAACAAACAGAGCUGUCACACUGUAGCCUGGCCAGUCUUGAAACUGGUUUUCAAAGCUUCUCUGAUGCUCACCGCACCCUGCUGUGCUCUUCAAACCACCCUGGUGUCUGGCUGUGCAUAAUCAGUGGCCAGGCGAUUUGCCUCAACCUCCCACCCCGCCAUAAACGUCUCCCCCUUACUCUCACAGAUAUUGUGAAGCACACAGCAAGCAGCAAUAACAAUGGGAAUAUUGGUUUCGCUGAGGUCUAACAGAGUCAGUAAACUGUGCCAGCGCUCUUUUAAACAUCCAAAUGCACAUCCUACCACCAUUCUGCACUUGCUCAGCCUAUAGUUAAACAGCUCCUUAUAAUGCUCAUAACUGCUUUGGUGAUCUGAGCGGGUUCCAUGCUUGCCGUGGUAUGGCGUCUGCAGGAUAGCAGAGUUGCAGUGGAAUCAGUGGCUAAAGACGGAUGCCACGAGAAUAGAUAUUUAUAGAGAACAACAAGAGAACCUGCAAGGUGGAUUCAUGAGAGCAGGAGAGCAGAGUUGCAGCGGAAGCAGAGGAGGAUGACAGUUAGCACCGUGAACAUUUCCCGAGGAAGAACACAUGUACCCGGGAGCCCAUGACAGACAACAUGGAGAAAUUAACUAUUGAGACAAUAGCAGCAGAGCAGAGUUUUAGCUGAAGCAGUGUAUGAUGAUAGUUAGCAGUCCUACUGCACCGUCUGCUGCCAGCAGCACCCAGGACACAACAGCGGCAGUGUCAGUGAGCUGAGCUGGGCGGGCUGCACACUGGCCGUAGUAUGGCGUCUGCGUGGGAAAAAAGGCGCAAAAUGAUUGUCUGCUGUUGCUUUCACGGAGGGAAGGGCGACUGACGACAUGUACCCAAAACCACCCGCGACAAUGUUUUUUCCCCAUCAGGCAUUGGGAGCUUAACCCAGGAUUCCAAUGGGCAGCGGAGACUGCGGGAACUGUGGGAUAGCUACCUACAGUGCACCGCUCUGUAAGUCGAUGCUAGCCACGGUAGUGAGGACGCACUCCGCCGACUUAAUGUGCUUAGUGUGGACAUACACAGUCAACUGUAUAAAAUCGAUUUCUAAAAAUCGACUUCUUUAAUAUCAACCUAAUUUCGUAGUGUAGACAUACCCUCAGAGAUAAAGGGGACAAGCUCUUUAAUCCCUUAGCAAACAGAUCAGAUCCUUGUAUCUGGCUGAGGAAUGGUGGCUAAAGGGUUGUGGGGAGAGGCAAAGUUGUCUAUUACCAUUAUUACUAUAAAGCCAUUAUUAUUAGAUACUUCUUGAUCCCAGGAGUGAGAAUCCUACACAGGUGGAAUCUCUAGAGAAGAGAAAAUUACUUACGUAUGAUUCUGUUUCUCUGAAGAUAUUAUCUUGCAGAGUACUCUCUCACCUGCCCACAUCCCCUCAGAGUUUGGAAAUUAAUGUUUUUGAAUGCUCCCACUCCCCUGGCCAUAUUUUUCAUCUUAUGUUGGUCAUCUUGAAAUUUUGAAUGCCCUUUUCUACAUUCAUUACCAAUGUCAAUGGAAGGAACUGACUGGAACAUUCAUAGGCAACAUUUAUACUUGGCAGAGGGUAGCAAACAACAGGCAGUAGGGUACCAAGCUUGCUAUCGACCAUGCUACUGCUGCCCUUAAAAGUUAGAAAAACAUUAUGAACUAAGGGACUUAUAAUUGAAACUAAGGAGCUAAUGCCCAGGAGUAAGAAUCCCGCAAGAUAUCGUCAGAGAGGAAUAAUUACAGGUAAAGAUCUUUAAUUUUUGUUGUGUCCACCAUGAAAGGAUAUUUGGGUACAGCGCUCUUGACUGAUGGGUUAUUUGAGGGGUGAGGCUCCUCAAAAAGCAAGGUCCUUUCCUUUCAUGAGAAUUAAGGCCACCGCUGAGCAAAAAUGACGGUCUUGUUUUUGUGGAGGGGGCUGGAGUAUGUGGCUCAGGGUCCCCACUUUUUACCUUCCUGAGGUCCCUUUUGGUAAUUAUCCAGGAGCCCAAGAGUGGGACUUACUUUGUAUAAAAUGAAGCAAACUAGCCAGACUUAUCUCUAAUAUGCAAAUGUAGUCUGAAGAAACUAUAAACUCACCAAAUUAAGACUGAGCUCCCCAUACUAGGCUGUGUAUUUUUUCAGAGCUACAACUCCUUAUUAAUUAUUAAGCCAGUCACAGUCAUUGUAGAAUUGUGAGUGACACGUUUCAAAAGGACUUUAUUUAGCCCCUACAUCUUUAAACCUAUCAUAAGAUUCCAUGAAAUAGUAACACCACAGAAGGUUAAAAAAAAAAAACUACUAAAUAGACUUCUACUGUUUUUUGUUCUCAAAUUUGGCAGUGCCUCUUGAAUGUAUACUGUAUAUUUCACCUCUGUUACACAACAGUGAAAGAAAGUCAGUAUGGUGUAGAUCAUGCUGUGAAACAUCACUUAUAACAUCAAUUUAACACCUAGUGAAGAGCUGAUUCUCUUACCCAAGGUUUUCAGAGAUAGUAGUGAGUUGUUAGGAGUUGCUGAACUUGCAAUUAUUUCCAAAGGGAAAAAACAAACAAGAAACAAUCCACUGAUAGUCUGUGAUUAUCAUUUAACAACUCCAAUAAGAAAAACAACUAAUAAACACAAUGAAUGAAAUCCAGGCUCCACUGAAGUCAGUCAGGAUAUUGCCAUGAACCUCAAUGGAGCCACUAUUUCACCCAAUUUACAUAGCGUUACUAUCUCUGAAAACCUUGGGUAAGAGAAGUUUCAUCCUAAUUAAACUAUAAAUUGCACAUGUUUGAAAGAAUUUGGGACUUUCAUUCAACUUCACUAAAAUGGUGUAUUGUUGUAUCUAAUUUCCAAUGUAUGAUUUCACUGUAUUUCUUUGUAACGCUGCAAAGGAAAAAAUAAAUACCUGUUAAUCUUGA